AGUUUGCGCCUGCAUAAAUCCGUAAGUCCACUUUAAAACAUCUGUAUCAUUAUUCUAUAUUAUUGACUCUCUCAGCAUAGAGUUGUGUGUGGAAUGAUAUAUAAAGUAUAGGACAGCUAGAGGAAUGAACAUUAACAAGUUUUUUUGUCCUUUACAAAUAUUCUGAUAUUUUGAUAUUCACUGGUUUCUUUUCUGACAUCUAGCCCCAUUGUGCAGCUUCUGUUUCCUCUCCUGAACUGGACAAGGUAAACCGCAAUGGUCCUCAUAAGCAGUCAGGCAAAGCAAGAACAUCAAGGAAUAAAACGGCGGCCAGUCUCUUUUUUUCUGUAGCCACUCCAAAGUCCAAGUCACCCACGUCACCUUCAACCUCGCCUGUGCAGCCCUCAUCAUCCUCGCCUGCCUACAGAGGAGGAGAGUGCAUCAACAAAGCUGCUUGCGAAUGUGGCAUAAAGAACCCUGAAGCACUGUCAUCAACUAGGCUCAGGAAACACAUAGCAACCAUGUCUAAAAUUCUUAACCUUAAUGAGAAUGAAGCAGACCAACUGGCUGAUUUCCUUGGUCACGAUAUCCGAAUCCACAGACAGUAUUAUCGGUUACCAGAGGGAACACUGCAGCUGGCAAAAAUGAGUAAAGUCCUAAUGGCCAUGGAGAAAGGAACACUCUCUGACUACAAAGGAAAGAAACUUGAUGACAUUGAAAUCGACCCAAAUGGUAUGAGUAUACAUGCUCUGUGUGUAUCUGUGCUGUACAUAUUUGCAAAACAAUGUAUAUAUUCAUGUCACAGAUACUAGGUAUAAGCAAUAAAGUGUUCAUUUUUCGUUAAUUAAUUAUUAAGAGCAACUUGAGGCCCAAGGUGAUUCCAUGUCAAGUGAUGAGGAGGAUUCCAGUGACCUCUCUCAGACACCAGCACCAGCACCAGUACAGACUGAUCAACCUGUUCAAUCUGAACAAGCUGUUUCACAGGAGGAUCAAGGUUCUUCAAAUGCUCCAAAAAAGAAAUGGGAGGACAGUGAGGUAAAAGCAGUAGAGAGACACAUGAUGAGUUUCAUCAAGACAUGCAAAGUUCCUGGUAAGCAAGACUGUGAAAGAUGCAUUCACGCAGAGCCAGAAGCUUUGAAGCAGCGAACAUGGACUGGUGUGAAAAAUUAUGUGCGGAACAGGAUCACGACUCUUAAAAGAAAGGGUGGUUUGUAGGGAGGGACAAACACUUCAACACUUUGCACAUUAUGCUCUUUUUGUAGGAAAUGGAGCUAAAUUAAAAGAAAUGAGGAUAAAGGUGUAGAAAUAUUUUGUGGAUGGAAUGAAACAGAAUAUAAAGUGAAAAGUUAGAGUAUAAGAAGGUUAAUGAAGAAGUAGAGGAUAGUAAGAGUCAAUUUUCUUUGUUCAGUUACAAUAUAGUUGGAUGAAAUGUCAUGUUAAACUUUUUGAUAUUUCUGUCAUAGAGGGAGGGGAGAAUGUAAAGAUGAUAAAAAAGGGAAGAGUGAAUAGCUGUGCUGGACAUGGGCUAUGGCUGGAUGUAACUGAUUGGUGAGAGUUGCCGUGUGCAGACGAGAGAAGCUGAAAACUGAGAUGUGAUGUCAGACACUUUCUGCUUCCCGUAGUGAUGCAGAGCCAGAAGCUUUGAAGCAGCGAACAUGGACUGGUGUGAAAAAUUAUGUGCGGAACAGGAUCACGACUCCUAAAAGAAAGGGUGGUUUGUAGGGAGGCACAAACACUUCAACACUUUGCACAUUAUGCUCUUUUCGUAAGAAAUGGAGCUAAAUUAAAAGAAAUUAAGAUAAAGGUGUAGACAUUAAAAUUAAGAGACGCUCGUGCUGUUUGCAUACUUUACCACAGCUGAAGUAGAAAAAAUGCAUUAUUUUCCAAAUACACAGAUAUUUCGGAGACAUUUUCAUUCAAUACAUGCACUGCUUGAUACAGUGUCUGUUUGUACAAGAAUAAAGUUCAACAUAAGCCUAAAUACAAACGUAAAGCGGGAAGAGAGAAUGUAAAGGGGGACGUUAAAGGACGUAAAGUAGAAGAGCAUGUAAAGGGGAUGUAAAGAGGGAGGAGAGAAUGUAAAGGGGACGUAAAGAGGGAGGAGAGAAUGUAAAGGGGACGUAAAGAGGGAGGAGAGAAUGUAAAGGGGACGUAAAGAGGGAGGAGAGAAUGUAACUGGGACGUAAAGAGGGAGGAGAGAAUGUAAAGGGGACGUAAAGAGGGAGGAGAGAAUGUAACUGGGACGUAAAGAGGGAGGAGAGAAUGUAAAGGGGACGUAAAGAGGGAGGAGAGAAUGUAACUGGGACGUAAAGAGGGAGGAGAGAAUGUAAAGGGGACGUAAAGAGGGAGGAGAGAAUGUAAAUGGGACGUAAAGAGGGAGGAGAGAAUGUAAAGGGGACGUAAAGAGGGAGGAGAGAAUGUAAAGGGGACGUAAAGAGGGAGGAGAGAAUGUAAAGGGGACGUAAAGAGGGAGGAGAGAAUGUAACUGGGACGUAAAGAGGGAGGAGAGAAUGUAAAGGGGACGUAAAGAGGGAGGAGAGAAUGUAAAGAGGGAGGAGAGAAUGUAAAGGGGACAUAAAGAGGGAAGAGAGAAUGUAAAGAGGGAGGAGAGAUUGUAAAGGGGACGUAAAGAGGGAGGAGAGAAUGUAAAGGGGACAUAAAGAGGGAGGAGAGAAUGUAACGGGGACGUGAAGAGGGAGGAGAGAAUGUAAAGAGGGAGGAGAGAAUGUAAAGGGGACGUAAAGAGGGAGGAGAGAAUGUAAAGGGGACGUAAAGAGGGAGGAGAUAAUGUAAAGAGGGAGGAGAGAAUGUAAAGGGGACGUAAAGAGGGAGGAGAGAAUGUAAAGGGGACGUAAAGAGGGAGGAGAGAAUGUAAAGAGGGAGGAGAGAAUGUAAAGAGGGAGGAGAGAAUGUAAAGAGGGAGGAGAGAAUGUAAAGAGGGAGGAGAGAAUGUAAAGGGGACGCAAAGAGGGAGGAGAGAAUGUAAAGAGGGAGGAGAGAAUGUAACAGGGACGUAAAGAGGGAGGAGAGAAUGUAAAGGGGACGUAAAGAGGGAGGAGAGAAUGUAAAGAGGGAGGAGAGAAUGUAAAGAGGGAGGAGAGAAUGUAAAGAGGGAGGAGAGAAUGUAAAGAGGGAGGAGAGAAUGUAAAGAGGGAGGAGAGAAUGUAAAAAGGGAGGAGAGAAUGUAACGGGGACGUAAAGAGGGAGGAGAGAAUGUAAAGAGGGAGGAGAGAAUGUAAAGAGGGAGGAGAGAAUGUAAAGGGGACGUAAAGAGGGAGGAGAGAAUGUAAAGGGGACGUAAAGAGGGAGGAGAGAAUGUAAAGGGGACGUAAAGAGGGAGGAGAGAAUGUAAAGGGGGAGGAGAGAAUGUAACGGGGACGUAAAGAGGGAGGAGAGAAUGUAAAGAGGGAG